rnacentral:rRNA from 1 species
UGGCUCAGAUUGAACGCUGGCGGCGUGCUUAACACAUGCAAGUCGCGCGUGAAAGGACUACGGUCCGAGUAAAGCGGCGCACGGGUGAGUAACGCGUGGAUGAUCUACCCAUGAGUUAGGAAUAACGGCUGGAAACGGUCGCUAAUACCAAAUACGCUCCGAUUUCAACUUCGGGGGAAAGGUGGCCUCUGCUUGCAAGCUACUGCUCAUGGAUGAGUCCGCGUCCCAUUAGCUAGUUGGUGGGGUAACGGCCCACCAAGGCGACGAUGGGUAGCCGGUCUGAGAGGAUGACCGGCCACACUGGGACUGGAACACGGGCCCAGACUCCUACGGGAGGCAGCAGUGGGGAAUAUUGCGCAAUGGGCGAAAGCCUGACGCAGCGACGCCGCGUGAGGGAUGAAAAGGGUCCUCGGAUCGUAAACCUCUGUCAGGAGGGAAGAACCGCCACGGUGCUAAUCAGCCGUGGUCUGACGGUACCUCCAAAGGAAGCACCGGCUAACUCCGUGCCAGCAGCAGC